GAUGAAGAACGUAGCGAAAUGCGAUAAGUAAUGUGAAUUGCAGAAUUCAGUGAAUCAUCGAAUCUUUGAACGCACAUUGCGCCCCUUGGUAUUCCGAGGGGCAUGCCUGUUCGAGCGUCAUAUUAACCACUCCCGCUUGCGGGGUCUUGGGCUUCGCCUCCGGGCGGGCCUUAAAAUCAGUGGCGGUGCCGUCGGGCUCUACGCGUAGUAAAUUUUCUCGCGAUAGGGUCCCGGUGGAUGCUUGCCAACAACCCCCAACUUCUUAAGGUUGACCUCGGAUCAGGUAGGGAUACCCGCUGAACUUAAGCAUAUAAUAAGCGGAGGA
rnacentral:misc_RNA from 1 species